CUAAGGGCCCUCCCACGGGCCUACGCGUGCAGUUCAACGACUAAAUGGCAGUGGGUCUGCGCGUGGGCGCCCUCGUGGCGGCCGCGCGGCAGGCUUAAGAUAUAGUCUCGUCCCCCGCUGAAAGGCGGUG
rnacentral:ribozyme from 1 species